rnacentral:rRNA from 1 species
GAUGAACGCUGGCGGCGUGCCUAAUACAUGCAAGUCGAGCGAACGGACGAGAAGCUUGCUUUUCUGAUGUUAGCGGCGGACGGGUGAGUAACACGUGGAUAACCUACCUAUAAUACUGGGAUAACUUCGGGAAACCGGAGCUAAUACCGGAUAAUAUUUUGAACCGCAUGGUUCAAAAGUGAAAGACGGUCUUGCUGUCACUUAUAGAUGGAUCCGCGCUGCAUUAGCUAGUUGGUAAGGUAACGGCUUACCAAGGCAACGAUGCAUAGCCGACCUGAGAGGGUGGUCGGCCACACUGGAACUGAGACACGGUCCAGACUCCUACGGGAGGCAGCAGUAGGGAAUCUGCCGCAAAGGGCGAAAGCCUGACGGAGCAACGCCGCGUGAGUGAUGAAGGUCUUCGGAUCGUAAAACUCUGUUAUUAGGGAAGAACAUAUGUGUAAGUAACUGUGCACAUCUUGACGGUACCUAAUCAGAAAGCCACGGCUAACUACGUG